AUGCCGCGUGAGUGAAGAAGGCCUUCGGGUUGUAAAGCUCUUUUGUCAGGGAAGAAACGGUGAAGGCUAAUAUCCUUUGCUAAUGACGGUACCUGAAGAAUAAGCACCGGCUAACUACGUGCCAGCAGCCGCGGUAAUACGUACGGUGCAAGCGUUAAUCGGAAUUACUGGGCGUAAAGCGUGCGCAGGCGGUUUUGUAAGUUUGUCGUGAAAGCCCCGGGCUCAACCUGGGAAUUGCGAUGAAGACUGCUAGGCUUGAAUCUGGCAGAGGGGGGUAGAAUUCCACGUGUAGCAAUGAAAUGCGUAGAGAUGUGGAGGAACACCGAUGGCGAAGGCAGCCCCCUGGGUCAGGAUUGACGCUCAUGCACGAAAGCGUGGGGAGCAAACAGGAUUAGAUACCCUGGUAGUCCACGCCCUAAACGAUGUCUACUAGUUGUCGGGUUUUAAUUAACUUGGUAACGCAGCUAACGCGUGAAGUAGACCGCCUGGGGAGUACGGUCGCAAGAUUAAAACUCAAAGGAAUUGACGGGGACCCGCACAAGCGGUGGAUGAUGUGGAUUAAUUCGAUGCAACGCGUAAAACCUUACCUACCCUUGACGUGUACGGAAGACCCAAAAGAUUUG
rnacentral:rRNA from 1 species